GAGAGCGAGGGGGCGGAU
rnacentral:tRNA from 2 species